GUUUUUAAAGACAUGGUAUUUCUAUUUGUGCACAAAAGAAUUUUUCAUCCUUGCAGCAAAUAGAACAGGACACGGCUAUUGUUUCGAUGAAUCGGCAGGGAAGCUGAGAUGUUGCUAUGAUUACAGAAAUGUUUCAGGAAGAUGUGAACCAUGUCUAGGUUCAUUUGGAGAGGCCUGUGAAAAUAACUGCCCGGAUGGAUAUUAUGGACAUGGAUGUAGAAAUAAGUGUGACUGUUUGCCUGAGUCAUGUCAUGAAAUCCAUGGUUG